GACUGCUAUUUUUUGAACACAACUGGAGAUACCCAAGGUAACCUACAGGUAAAAGCUGGAAUAGAAAAGAUGAAAAUCAUGAGAGACAAAUGGUUACAGGAAAAUAGUGCAGACAAAGACUCAUGGUGGGGAGACACCUUUUCCUU